CCUACGGGACGCAGCAGUGAGGAAUAUUGGUCAAUGGGCGAGAGCCUGAACCAGCCAAGUCGCGUGAGGGAAGACGGUCCUAUGGAUUGUAAACCUCUUUUGCCGGGGAGCAAAAUGCGGUACGUGUACCGCAUCGAGAGUACUCGGAGAAAAAGCAUCGGCUAACUCCGUGCCAGCAGCCGCGGUAAUACGGAGGAUGCGAGCGUUAUCCGGAUUUAUUGGGUUUAAAGGGUGCGCAGGCGGAAGAUCAAGUCAGCGGUAAAAUUGAGAGGCUCAACCUCUUCGAGCCGUUGAAACUGGUUUUU
rnacentral:rRNA from 1 species